rnacentral:lncRNA from 1 species
UAGCUGGGACUACAGAUGCCCACCACCAUGCCCAGCUAAUUUUUUUGUAUUUUUUUAGUAGAGACGGGGUUUCACUGUGUUAGCCAGGAUGGUCACGAUCUCCUGACCUCGUGAUCUGCCCACCUCGGCCUUCCAAAGUGUUGGGAUUACAGGCUUGAGCCACUGUGCCCGGCCCAUAAAGCACUAUUUAAUGACUGCUCCAUAAAUACAAACUUCCUUUCCUUAUUAUUAUUAUUUAUUUUUUUUUUGAGAUGGAGUCUUGCUCUCGUCCCCCAGGCUGGAGUGCAGUGGCGCGAUCUCGGCUCACUGCAACCUCCGCCUCCCGGGUUCAAGCGAUUCUCCUGACUUGGGACUACAGGUGCGUGCGACCACAGCCAACUCAUUUUUCUGUUUUUAGCAGAGACAGGGUUUCACCAUAUUGGCCAGGCUGGUCGAACUCCUGACCUUGUGAUCCACCCGCCUCGGCCUCCCAAAGUGCUGGGAUUACAGGCGUGAGCCACGGCACCCGGCCCAUAAUUACAAACUUUCUGAGGGACAUCUUGAAGCACACAAAACUAUAGACAAUAUUAUCAUAACCACCCCUGCAAAUGCCUCACUCGUGUUCAGCCAUCAUUUACAUUUGAACCACUCCUGUUUCACCUACAGCCUCCUCAUGGCCCCUCCCCUGGAGCACUUAAAAAUGGUAAUGACAUGCUCUCUAGUAAUCGUUGUGUGUUACUGUCAAAAGGUAUAACUCAUGCAUUGAUGGGGGUAACCCCUACAGCAGUUAACCCUGCGUGCUCAGAGGGGAAUGAAAGGUAGCUCAGAGGCUCGGGAGGUGAGGUUGCAAAAUGGCUUGUGUUGUGGGGAAUGUUCUCAUCCACCCAAAUCAAGCAUCACUACAUCCAUCCGCAGGGGAGGCAAGCUUAGGGCAUCACGUCCAGGAGUGGCCAGGUCCCGAUGUCACGGGGAGCCGGGCUGGGACAAGCUCCAGACGGCCAGGGUGGUGUGGGUUUGCAGUGGGAGGGCUGGCGCGGGGGCCCUGAGGGCUCCCUGGUUCCCAUCUUAUCAAGAUGCUGGACUCGGUGCUUGAAACAUGUCCUGACAGCCACAUGAAAAGGGUUAGAAAUGAUACUGUUUCGCCUGGGUGCUGUGGCUCAUGCUUGUAAUCCUAGCACUUUGGGAGGCCGAG